AACAACGCUGGCGGCGUGCCUAACACAUGCAAGUCGUACGAGAAAGUCGGCUUCGGCCGAUGAGUACAGUGGCGCACGGGUGAGUAGCGCGUGGGUAAUCUGCCCCCGGUCAGGAAUAACCCGCCGAAAGGCGGGCUAAUACCCGAUAACACUGACGCUCCGCGGAGCGUCUUUCAAAGAAGGCCUCUGUUUACAAGCUUUCGCCGGAGGAUGAGCCCGCGUACCAUUAGCUAGUUGGCAGGGUAAUGGCCUACCAAGGCUACGAUGGUUAGCUGGUCUGAGAGGAUGGCCAGCCACACUGGAACUGAGACACGGUCCAGACUCCUACGGGAGGCAGCAGUGAGGAAUCUUGCGCAAUGGGGGAAACCCUGACGCAGCAACGCCGCGUGAGUGAGGAAGGCCUUCGGGUCGUAAAGCUCUGUCAGAUGGGAAGAAAUGGAUGGGGGCUAAUAUCGCCCAUCCUUGACGGUACCAUCAGAGGAAGCACCGGCUAACUCCGUG
rnacentral:rRNA from 1 species